CAACUAUUAUUUAAAUACAUUUGAAGACAUUUGGUUGUAUAAUUGCCGAGAUAUAGCUAUUUUAAAUUAGCGGUUUCAAAAAACGGGUGCCACGAUAUUUCCACACAUCUUUGACCAAAUCGGCUCAAAAUUUUGGUGAAGCCUCGUUAAACCGGUCCUGUGUGCAUGACAAAGCCCGAUUUUCUAAAAGUUUAUUUGAUAAAAAGAUAAAAAUGUUUCUAUGUUUUUCAUAUAAAAAAUCGCCAGUUUUUGAUUUUUGUAUUUUUUUAAAGUGCAAAAUUUCAAAAUCGGGCUUCGUCAUGCACACGGAAUAUGUCUUGCAAGUCUUCACCUCAAAUUUCAACCAAUUUGGUCCGUCCCAUCUCGAGAUAUCGUGGCACCCGUAAUUCAACUCGGUGUUCAGAUAAAACCGCUCACAAAGUUUGACUUUGCGCAUGGCCGAAUUUUGAGCGUGAAUCGUCUCUUACUGCUCUUACUCAGUUUAAUCAUGAAAUAUUUUCAUGGAACUUUCAGGAGUGAUUGAAAAUCAUAUUUUAAGUGGAUUUAACAAAUUUUCUGAAUUAUGAAAUUUUGUGAUUUCCUACAUGUAUGUAACCCAAGUGGCAGUGCGUGGCCAAAUGGUUACGCUGUCCGCUUUGUAAGCGGAUGAUUCUGGGUUCGAUUCCCAUCUGCUGCAACCUUCCAUCGGAUGAGGAAGUAAAAUGUCGGUCCCGGCCUUGGUUGUUAGACCGUUAAGUCAUUCCAGGUGUAGGAGUCGUCUCCAUGCCAUAAGUACAAACAACACACCAAACCAAGCCUACUCCGGUGGAAUCGCUGGCAGCGGUUGGACUCGCAAUCCAAAGGUCGUCAGUUCAAACACUGGGGUGGAAGGUUCCUUGGAGUAGAAAGAGGUUUGGGUGCUCUCUCCAUUCAAGCCUUCGGACUCCUAGGUUCGAGCAGUUGCAAUAGAGACCACAAAAGACCCGGGGGUCGUUAAUGUGGAUGGUUUGAUUUUGAUGUAACCCCUUAAGUGAUUUAAAUAAUGCUAUAUCUCGAAGCCAUUGCAUCGUAUCAACAAGUGGUCAAAGAUAAACUUGUAGGAAAUUGGACGGGCUUUCUGAAAAAUAUACACUGAAAGAACGCCACUUUUAUGAGAUUUUUGGAUUUUUAAGUUUAAUAGUAAAAUUUAACGUUGAGCCCCCUAUUUUUUCAUUUUUUUUUGUGGAAAUAGAUGUUACAAUAAGAUGUUACAAAAAGACUCACAAAAAAAUUAGAAUGGAGCAACUGGAGCAACAAACGCGGGAAUCGAUUCUCCAGACAAUUUUACAUAAAAGUCUCCAUAUUGACCAUUGCCUUAAGUCAAAUCCUUGUGCAGUUACAGCGGUUUUUAUAAUAAAACGUUACUUAAUUUACCUUUAGGUGGUUGGUGCCUUCCUCUCAUUUAUAUAAUGAUUCCAACCCCCCUAAAAUGUCCACAUGGUUUAUGGAUCGCCCCUAACGUGAUGUGAUGAGUAAAAAAAAAACAGACGGCCUACAGACUUUUUGUCAAGAUUGUACAUACACAGCCGUGGGGCAAUAGAUUGAGGUUAUGUAAUUUUAGAACAUUUUUUAAACUGCUUUUAAUUUUAGAAAGGUUAGUCAGAUCUUGAAAAAUUUUAAUCCACAAGAAAGGUCAUUUCAGAACCUUUCUAAAAAUAUAUAAUAUGCCAGGUUUUCAUGCAAAAACCACCCUUUUUUGCAAAUUGUGAAAUUUAUAUGCAGCAGUUUUUUAAGCAUAACUUUUGAUGUGCUUUACUAAAUCUCAAUAGGGACUUAUGGGACCCCAAGACGAAUCGAAUGAGGCCAAUACGGUCAAAAUCGGCUCAGUCAGUGACUAGAUAUUCCAGUGACAUUGAUUCGGUACACAUCAUGUCUACAUACAGCCAAACACACAGACAUUUGCUCAGCUGGUGAUUCUGAGUCGAUAUGUAUAAAUGAAGGUAGGUCUAGGAAGUCUAACUAAAAAGUUCAAUUUUCGAGUGAUUUUAUAGCCUUUCCUCAGUAAGGUGUGGAAGGCAAAAAUGUUGAAAAACAGAGGUUUUGUUGCCAUGUUUUGGCUUUUCUAUAUGUAAAACUUGAUUUUUCAGUCUCGAAAAUAUUUUCAACGGAAAGCUCGUCCAAUUUCCCAUAAGUUUGUCUUUUGGCUUUUAAAACUUAAAAUCUAAAAAUCGCAUAAAAGUGACGUUUUUUUUCAGUGUAUAUUUUUCAGGAAGCCCUUCUCAAUUGUCAUCAUCGAGUAAAACUGGCUCCAUAAAUGGCUUAUAUAAGCGUAGGAUAACUGUCUACAAAGUUUCAUUGAAAUCAGGGGCUGGGCUGGAAUUGCUCUAAAAUAAAACCUAAAAAUCUAAAAUUUUGGUAUAUUUUCGAAUUGUAAUUUAGGGGCCAUCCAUAAAUACCUGCACCUGGUGUUUUUGUAUAGAAAAUUAUGGAUGAUCCCUAAUUGUGUAAUUAAUAAAUAAAAAACCUUAAUUUUCUUCUAAAUAUACUUUUUCUAAUUUUUUAAAUUUUUUAGUUUUGUAUUUUAAAUUCUCUGAAAAUUAUCAACAUCUCUUAAAUCGGGCGCCAUCCACAAAUGACGUCGCACUUUUUCUAGGAUUUUUGAAGGAUAGAAUAAGCAGGCCAAGGAUUGAUACCUAAGAGCAUGCAAUGGCACUGACCUUGUUGCGUGCUCUUCGGUUGACGUCCACGUAAGGAACAUCCUGGAAGGAGCGCAACUAACUACAUCCGUAGUUCUGUUAGAUCAUCCGAAUUAUCUUGAUCAGAACAGUAUAGCUCUGGUUCCUUGCGAGUGUCCUAUUUUCUUACCUCCACGUUGGCUUGGUUUUCAUGAUGACCUAGCUGGUGGCCUGUGGAAACGGAUCGUAAACCUUUAACCACCGCGGGUCAGGACAAGACGGCUAAAAGAAAGGGGCGCGACAAUGUGGGAAAGGGAAGUAAUUUGUGAUUGUAGACGGUAUUGUUUUGAUUCGCAGUAUGUUGAGUCAACUGCUGUGGAUGUACCUGAAACAUCGCACAACGGGGUUUCUCUUCUCAUCUUUCUCAGCUACCA